rnacentral:rRNA from 1 species
CACCAGUAGCGAAGGCGGCUCACUGGUCCGGUACCGACGCUGAGGAGCGAAAGCAUGGGGAGCAAACAGGAUUAGAUACCCUGGUAGUCCAUGCUGUAAACGAUGAACACUAGGUGUGGCGAACUCAUUGAUGUCUGCCGUGUCGUAGCUAACGCAUUAAGUGUUCCGCCUGGGGAGUACGGCCGCAAGGCUAAAACUCAAAGGAAUUGACGGGGCCCCGCACAAGCGGCGGAGCAUGCGGCUUAAUUCGAUGCAACCCGAAGAACCUUACCUGGACUUGACAUCAUGGGUCUACCUGUAGAAAUACGGGGUGCUUAUGCGCCCAUGACAGGUGGUGCAUGGCUGUCGUCAGCUCGUGUCGUGAGAUGUUGGGUUAAGUCCCGCGACGAGCGCAACCCCUGUCCUAUGUUGCCAGCACGUAAUGGUGGGGACUCAUAGGAGACUGCCGGGGAUAACUCGGAGGAAGGCGGGGAUGACGUCAAGUCAUCAUGCCCCUUAUGUCCAGGGCUGCACGCAUGCUACAAUGGGUGGUACAACGGGCUGCGAUCUCGCAAGAGUGAGCGAAUCCCUGAAAGCCAUCCCUAGUUCGGAUUGGAGUCUGCAACUCGACUCCAUGAAGCCGGAGUCGCUAGUAAUCGUGGAUCAGCAAAGCCGCGGUGAAUACGUUCUCGGGGCUUGUACACACCGCCCGUCACAUCACGGAAGUCGGUAACACCCGAAGUCAGUGGCCUAACCCUUUAGGGAGGGAGCUGCCGAAGGUGGGAUCGAUGACUGGGAUGAAGUCGUAACAAGGUAGCCGUA